AGGUUUAUAACCUGAUUCAUAUCACCAAUUCCAAACUUGAAAAUACAAUGAUUCAACCGAAUACAUUUAUAUAUAUUUUUUAGUCUAUCAUAAACAUAUAUAAUUAUGUACUCAUAAUCAAAGCAUGAAUUUAUAUUUGUAUACUCAUACAUAUUCGAAUCUAAUAUAUAUACAUCCAUAAUUUCAUUCCUAAAUCCAUAUAAGGUAUCAUGCAUGUAUAUGCAAACUUGUUCGAUCCACA
rnacentral:lncRNA from 1 species